rnacentral:rRNA from 1 species
CCUACGGGUGGCUGCAGUGGGGGAUAUUGCACAAUGGGGGAAACCCUGAUGCAGCGACGCCGCGUGUGGGAAGACGGUCUUCUGGAUUGUAAACCACUGUCCCCAGGGACGAAAAUGACGGUACCUGGGGAGGAAGCUCCGGCUAACUACGUGCCAGCAGCCGCGGUAAUACGUAGGGAGCAAGCGUUGUCCGGAAUUACUGGGUGUAAAGGGAGCGUAGGCGGGGAUGCAAGUUGGGUGUCAAAACUACCGGCUCAACCGAUAGUCGCACUCAAAACUGCAACUCUUGAGUGAAGUAGAGGCAGGCGGAAUUCCUAGUGGAGCGGUGAAAUGCGUAGAUAUUAGGAGGAACACCAGUGGCGAAGGCGGCCUGCUGGGCUUUUACUGACGCUGAGGCUCGAAAGUGUGGGGAGCAAACAGGAUUAGAUACCCCUGUAGUC